AGGCUAAUACGUGAACGCAACCCCCGMCCGMCCGGGUAACUGGAAGGACGGGGACUGUGUGAUUCGAGCGCAGUUUUUUYUGGGAACAGUUGCAUGGCCUGACCACCAUACCAAACGGUUCCUCCUUGCGGCGGCCCUUCGGGGUACAGCUGGGGGGUUGUGGGUGGCUCUUGCUGUGUGCUUCUGACCUAUCAACUAGAUGGCAGCGCAAUGGACAUGCUAUGGUGACAACGCGUAC
rnacentral:rRNA from 1 species